rnacentral:rRNA from 1 species
GAUGAACGCUAGCGGCAGGCUUAAUACAUGCAAGUCAAGGGGGUAGCAAUACAACCGGCGCACGGGUGAGUAACGCGUACACAACAUACCAUAUACUGGGGUAUAGCUUUGGGAAACUGAAGGUAAUCCCCCAUAACAUUGCGAGAGGGCAUCUGAUUGCAAUUAAAGUUUCGGCGGUAUAUGAUUGGUGUGCGUUUGAUUAGCUAGUUGGUAGGGUAACGGCCUACCAAGGCGACGAUCAAUAGCUGGCGUGAGAGCGCGACCAGCCACACUGGAACUGAGACACGGUCCAGACUCCUACGGGAGGCAGCAGUAGGGAAUAUUGGACAAUGGAGGAAACUCUGAUCCAGCCAUGCCGCGUGAUAGAUGAAGGCCCUCUGGGUUGUAAAUAUCUUUCAGCAGGGAAGAAGCGAAAGUGACGGUACCUGCAGAAGAAGCACCGGCUAACUACGUG